UAUGCCGCGCCGAUUUCAAUC
rnacentral:miRNA from 1 species